GAUGAACGCUGGCGGCGUGCUUAACACAUGCAAGUCGAACGGAAAUAGAAGGAAGCCUAGCGAAUUCUAUUUUAGUGGCGGACGGGUGAGUAACGCGUGGGUAACCUGCCUUGUACUGGGGGCUAACACUGAGAAAUAGGUGCUAAUACCGCAUAAGCAUACGACAUCGCAUGACUUUGUGUGAAAAACCAUGGUGGUACAAGAUGGACCAGCGUCUGAUUAGCUAGUUGGUGAGGCAAUGGCGCACCUAGUCGACGAUCCCUAGCUGGUCUGAGAGGAUGACAAGCCACACUGGAACUGAGACACGGUCCAGACUCCUACGGGAGGCAGCAGUGGGGAAUAUUGCACAAUGGGCGCAAGCCUGAUGCAGCCAUGCCGCGUGUAUGAAGAAGGCCUUCGGGUUGUAAAGUACUUUCAGCGGGGAGGAAGGCGGUGAAGUUACUAGCUUAACCGAUUGACGUUACCCGCAGAAGAAGCACCGGCUAACUCCGUGCCAGCCGCCGCCGUAA
rnacentral:rRNA from 1 species